GGCAUUGUGGGUUUGGGGUUGUUUUUUUUUCAUCCUAGAGAACACUGUAACAUUUUUACUCUUUUUUUUCUUCCUUUUAAAUAACUGCACCAGCUUUGCUGACAUAAUGUUACAAGUGACAGGAAAAAGGAAGCAUUUGUCAUUGUAAAUGCUGUCAAGAGAAAAAAAUAUUUUGUACGCUCCCACGUACAGCAAACUAGGUCUUAUGCUUGUUCAUUGAUUGCUGCGUCCAUUGUGUGGCAAUGAAAUAAAAAGAAUUGCACCUCCUGCCCAAACAAAAGGGAACACCCAGAUCUCAUAACGGGCCCUUUUCAUAUGGAAGAGCAAAUGACAGAGAGAUGCGGAGUUUAAUGAGCUCUUCUUAGUACCAAACAUCCACUGAAAUGCCGGAACGUUUCCCAGUGUAUGCCACAGCCCAGCUCCACACGUACAUACAAAAAUGAGAAUCCCAAUGGUUACAUAUGCUCUAAGAGUUCUUCAGUAAGCAUCGGACACGUCUUUUUACACCGCUUUAAGACUUUCUGCAGCUGCAAGACCAAGCUCUGUGCAACUUCCCUAGGAUAAGAAACUAUCAGCAUAAGAAACCAUCCCCGCACCUUUGACAAGCUCAUCGAGUCUGUGUCAUCCCCCUGCCCACACACAGACGCCUAUUAAUACAGCCGGCAGGGUCGCCCAGAACUGCAGGAUUACUACACAACACGUACCCAUCUGUAACUACACACACGUCUACUAUACGGGUCCAUCGCUUUGCUUUCAACGUCAUCUUUCCGAGAACGACAAAGAUCGCUCCUUCCCCCUCGACCAACAAUGAGCUCCCUCCACACUCGACGCUGCUCUGCCCAACCGGGCCCCCGGGGAACCGCAGAGCUUUCCGAGGGCGCUCAGCCCUCCGCCCGAACCCCGAGUCCCGUUCGGGGAUCCCUGCUGCGAUCGCACGUCCUCCUUCAUCCUCCUUCAAGCGAGCGGCGCUGAUUGCGCAUCCCACUUCCGUCACGGACUUCCCUUAAAAACCCACAUUAACGCGGCUUUUAUUAUUCUCAUUACUAUUACAGCCGUCAUCUUUAUUUUCACACGCCGAGGUGGCGAUCCCCCCCAUCUCUCGGCCGUUAUGUCAAUGAAGCAUCAAAAUAUCUUCUAUCGUGGACAAGUCAAAUGAACACGAAGAAAGCGAACAGCUUGUGAUAGGAAAUGCGAUUGGAUGCCUGGUUAAAGCAUGUCCUGGUGCAACACUGGAAAAGGCUGCCCAGGGAAGUGGUGGAGUCUCCUUCUCUGGAGAUAUUCAAGUCCCAACUGGACGCCUACCUGUGUGACAUGGUGUAGGGAACCUGCUUUGGCAGGGGGGUUGGACUCGAUGAUCUCUAGAGGUCCCUUCCAACCCCUACAAUUCUGUGAUUCUGUGAACAGUGGUUCUUCUGUUGCACUGCCACCGUUAUCUAAAGGAGAGGUUGGAGGGAUAAUGCUAAAGAGGGCUGCUAAGCACCUUCAGAAAGUAAUAAAGCUGAAGAAUAGCUCUCAAAUGCUUGUAGUAAAUUGUAGGAAACAUGGCUACAUCCAGUUGAAAAUCAUAUGGCUUCAAGAAUUAGAUUCCUGAGCCUUUGCAAGUGUUAAAAGCAAAAGUAACUUCAAGAGAUAAUGUGGCUUUGUUAGUUUAUCACAGUCAGGUGAUGUGGAAGAUGUUUUUCCAAGGUUUGUGUUAAGCUGAGGUUGUACAGCUUGCUGAAAAGCUUCUGUGCAACCACCCUUGCCCUAAUUUCUCCUACAGAGAUGAGAUUAGUUUGACUGAAAAGAGUUUUUUUAAUGUUUUUCUUUCAGGCAAUGGGCACAGGAAAAUGUUUCAAAUUAGCAUCCCGCUGGCAGAAGCGGUUGCAACGUGAAUUCCUUUCUAGCUGGCCUAGCAGCAGCCACCAAGCAGAAACCAACUGGAAUAAAUGCUUCUGCUCCUGAGCAAACCAGAAGCAGACCUGAGAGCAGGAAUUAGAUGAUAUUCUGCACCAGCACAGAAUAAACUGCAUGAGAACCAUUUAGUGCAUUGAUUGAUAUCAAGCGGUUGCAGUUUACUUCUUUUACCUGCCCUAGAGGCAGUCCUUAUGGAGAAACCUUCAACAACCAAACACAUCCAUAACCUUUGCAGUAUUCAAAAGGACUGUAGCAAUAGUUGGGUUCACGCUUACAUUCAUGAUACAACAUUUUCUGAAGAUUAAAUUAAAUGGUUAUGAUAGGAAAACAAUGUUCUGGUUGAGAUACUAAACAUUUGUGAUUACGUAUGGAUAUCAUGCACAAGGUAUUAAUACUGUGACUUUAAGGAAUCAUGUUUCUUACUCCAGUUUAUCUUGAUAACUUUAGGUUUAAAACUUCCCAGGAAGGUGAGGGGAGAGUAUGAAUUGUCUAUGUAAAGAACAUUGCAUAUGGAAGAGUUGUGUGAGUUUGCAUACUUUGGAAGCUUGGUAUUAGAGAACAACCUUGUUCUCCACCCUCAGCUCCAACUUUGUUUCUCAGUUUUUGUCAGUCCAUAUUUGAUUUUGCACCAAUUACAGCAAUAAACUCAAUAGAAGAAAAGUACACUUGUAAAAUAAAAUAUUUUAAGGGUACCAUGACCUGCUAAAUAUCAAUAUUGCUAAGACUGAGAGACUUUUUUUUUUUUUAAUUGCCUACCAGGAUUUUUUAAAUCUAAAUAAGUUGAAAUAAUCUCUAUUUUGUGAAUGUACGCACAUAUAUAAAGGCAUUUGAUUUCAUAGAAGUAAAUUUUUCCGAAAGAUUUAUACCUGAGAAAGACGAAAGCUGUAAAAUGUGUAUUGUUUCAUUUGUAUGUCCUUUAUUUUUCAUGUGUGGUGUCUUACUUGGGUUGAACGGUCAUUCUAAAACCAUUAUGUCAGUGCACAAAUAUCUUUAUUCCAGGCAAAGAGAUCUCUUGUGAAGAAAGAAGCAUGCACAGUAUCCAGACCAAGAAGUGCCACUAUGUCACCAUGUUUAUCCUUAAUGGAAUAUUCAAGCUGGAUGUUGCUCAGGUUCUUUUCCUUCACAAUUUGCUGUCUGCUUCAUGAAGAUAAAGAUUGCCUGAUUUUUCUAUUUCUAAGACAAAUAAAGAAGCGCAACAGCUUGA